rnacentral:rRNA from 1 species
UACGGGGGGGCAAGCGUUGUUCGGAAUUACUGGGCGUAAAGGGCGCGUAGGCGGCCUGCUAAGUCGGACGUGAAAUCCCUCGGCUUAACCGGGGAACUGCGUCUGAUACUGGAUGGCUUGAGGUUGGGAGAGGGAUGCGGAAUUCCAGGUGUAGCGGUGAAAUGCGUAGAUAUCUGGAGGAACACCGGUGGCGAAGGCGGCAUCCUGGACCAAUUCUGACGCUGAGGAGCGAAAGCCAGGGAGCAAAGCGGG